rnacentral:rRNA from 1 species
UUGGAGAUCAGAAGCGAGAAUGUUGACAUGAGUAGCGAUAAAGAGGGUGAGAGACCCUCUCGCCGUAAGUCCAAGGGUUCCUGCUUAAAGCUAAUCUGAGCAGGGUAAGCCGGCCCCUAAGGCGAGGCCGAAAGGCGUAGUCGAUGGGAACCAGGUUAAUAUUCCUGGGCCAGGAGGAAGUGACGGAUCUCGAAGGUAGUUUGCCCUUAUCGGAUUGGGUGGGCUGCUCAGAGGUUCCAGGAAAUAGCCCUCCAUCAGACCGUACCCUAAACCGACACAGGUGGACUGGUAGAGUAUACCAAGGCGCUUGAGAGAACCACGUUAAAGGAACUCGGCAAAAUGCCUCCGUAAGUUCGCGAGAAGGAGGCCCCAUAUCUGGGCAACCAGGUGUGGGGGGCACAAACUAGGGGGUGGCGACUGUUUACUUAAAACACAGGGCUGUGCGAAGCCGUAAGGCGACGUAUACAGUCUGACGCCUGCCCGGUGCUGGAAGGUUAAAAGGAGGGGUGCAAGCUCUGAAUUGAAGCCCCAGUAAACGGCGGCCGUAACAAUAACGGUCCUAAGGUAGCGAAAUUCCUUGUCGGGUAAGUUCCGACCUGCACGAAUGGCGUAACGAUCUCCCCGCUGUCUCUAACGUGGACUCAGCGAAAUUGAACUGUGUGUCAAGAUGCACACUACCCGCGGUUAGACGGAAAGACCCCAUGCACCUUUACUCCAGCUUUGCACUGGUAUCAGGAUUGUGAUGUGCAGGAUAGGUGGUAGGCAUCGAAGCGGGGACGCCAGUUCUCGUGGAGCCUCCCUUGAGAUACCACCCUUCGCCAUCUUGAUAUCUAACCGCGGCCCGUUAUCCGGGUCCGGGACCCUGCAUGGUGGGGAGUUUGACUGGGGCGGUCGCCUCCCAAACAGUAACGGAGGCGCGCGAAGGUAGGCUCAGACCGGUCGGAAAUCGGUCGUUGAGUGCAAUGGCAGAAGCCUGCCUGACUGCAAGUCUGACAAGACGAGCAGAGACGAAAGUCGGUCAUAGUGAUCCGGUGGUCCCAAGUGGGAGGGCCAUCGCUCAACGGAUAAAAGGUACGCUGGGGAUAACAGGCUGAUGAUGCCCAAGAGUCCAUAUCGACGGCAUCGUUUGGCACCUCGAUGUCGGCUCAUCUCAUCCUGGGGCUGGAGCAGGUCCCAAGGGUAUGGCUGUUCGCCAUUUAAAGAGGUACGUGAGCUGGGUUUAGAACGUCGUGAGACAGUUCGGUCCCUAUCUGCCGUGGGUGUAGGAGACUUGAGAAGAGUUGCCCCUAGUACGAGAGGACCGGGGUGAACGAACCACUGGUGGACCAGUUGUCGUGCCAACGGCAGUGCUGGGUAGCUAUGUUCGGACAGGAUAACCGCUGAAGGCAUCUAAGCGGGAAGCCCCCUUCAAAACAAGGUCUCCCUUGAGAGCCGUGGAAGACCACCACGUCGAUAGGCCGGAGGUGUAAGUGCAGCAAUGCAUUCAGCUGACCGGUACUAAUUGCUC